rnacentral:rRNA from 1 species
UACGUAGGGUGCAAGCGUUGUCCGGAAUUAUUGGGCGUAAAGAGCUCGUAGGCGGCUUGUCGCGUCUUCUGUGAAAACCCGAGGCUCAACCUCGGGCCUGCAGUGGGUACGGGCAGACUAGAGUGCGGUAGGGGAGAUUGGAAUUCCUGGUGUAGCGGUGGAAUGCGCAGAUAUCAGGAGGAACACCAAUGGCGAAGGCAGAUCUCUGGGCCGUAACUGACGCUGAGGAGCGAAAGCAUGGGGAGCGAACAGG